rnacentral:rRNA from 2 species
GAGUUUGAUCCUGGCUCAGGACGAACGCUGGCGGCGUGCUUAACACAUGCAAGUCGAACGGUGAUGUCAGAGCUUGCUCUGGCGGAUCAGUGGCGAACGGGUGAGUAACACGUGAGUAACCUGCCCCCGACUCUGGGAUAACUGCUAGAAAUGGUAGCUAAUACCGGAUAUGACGACUGGCCGCAUGGUCUGGUCGUGGAAAGAAUUUCGGUUGGGGAUGGACUCGCGGCCUAUCAGGUUGUUGGUGAGGUAAUGGCUCACCAAGCCUACGACGGGUAGCCGGCCUGAGAGGGUGACCGGCCACACUGGGACUGAGACACGGCCCAGACUCCUACGGGAGGCAGCAGUGGGGAAUAUUGCACAAUGGGCGCAAGCCUGAUGCAGCAACGCCGCGUGAGGGAUGACGGCCUUCGGGUUGUAAACCUCUUUUAGUAGGGAAGAAGCGAAAGU